GGAGAAACUAUAUUGCUAGCGCUUCGUCGUCUUCACUUUGGAAAUAUAUACCAGAUCUCUUUUCCUAUCUCGCUCUCGCCGCUCUUUCUCUCUCGCUGGCGCCGAAGUGAGCUCUGACAAGCUCGCCGAGCAUGCAGACCUCGAAUCGACGAAGUUCAGUGGUAGACCACGCACAUCGUCGUCGAAUCUGGUCCUCUUCUUCGACGUCGUCGCCUCAGUACCACCUCCACCAAGUCCUCUUUUUCUCCUCCUCCUUUAAUUAUCUUUGAAAGUAUUUGAUGAUUUUGUUCUAACAUGAUAUCGUGGAACCCCAAAGGGUGGAGGCUCUUUGCUGUCCUCCUGGAAAAUGUUGCUUUUGGAAUGAGAAAGUAGCAACUCGAUCUGGGUAUUUACAUGUGUAAGGCAGUUCAUCAAUUUGUUCAUGUGUGUGUUUGACUGGGUUUUUGUGUUCAUUAUUGAAUUGAUAUUAGUGUGUAUCUAAUUGUGUAUAAUUUCAGUCUUAUGUGGGGAGGAGAUCUAGAUUAUGGUCGAGUGUAGGUGAAGAAGAAAAUUAGCUCCUCACCUGAUUUAGCUCUAGCCUCAGAUUGGGUUUUAGUUUACAGAUCCCCUCCAUGGGUAUUUCAAAGACGAUUUGUAUGCCCCUUUGAAUGAGGGUUAGAGUUUAAGCUUUUUCCCGAUUCCAAUUUCUCAUAGUCCUCACUAUUAUUGCUUUCAGGUACCGCGAUGAAGAUGGCGAGCCAUUGAUGAACCCCGAUGAGGUUAAGGAGAUGUGGGACACCGUUGACGCCGGCGAUUCCAAGGCACGUAGCAGCAUGGUCUCUAGUCUUAAAUCAGUUUCGUUUUCCAUUAGUGGGAAAAGGUUGAUUCAGCUAAUGUUCAGUUUGGAGGUUCAGUGUCAAGUUUGAGGAUGGUUAGCAUUUGUAGCUUCUGUUUCUUGCUUUUGUUUCAGCUUUGUGGUCAUAGUUCUUAAGAAGUUUGGCUGUGGUAAUAGUUGUAAUGCAGCAUUUCUUUAUGCCAUCUAAGGAGAUAGACUUUUAUGAGUCAGUUUGAUGGAUCAUAUAAGAAUGCUGAGGGGAAGACAAUAUGGAAAGAAGCCCUGAUAUUUAUAGAAUAAUGUGUCUUUACUUUGUUGGCUUUGCAGGGGAAAGCUUGUUGGGACAGAGCAUUUCUUUGUCUGCAUAAGGAAAACAGGCUCAUAGGUGACACUUCCAAGUUUUUGAUGGAACCCCAAGGUAAGGAUAGCUGCUCCGACCAAAAUUUUUGAUGCCCACUUUAAAAUUUGAACACGAGUAUUGUAGAGUAUUAAGUUUAGCCUUUAGUACAUAAGAGCAGUAAGUAGCUGUUUCAACUCAGAGGAUUGUUGAUUGUCUUACUAUGCAUGCUUUGGUGACAUGAUUCAUUGCCUGAGCUCCAACAUUGUUUAGCCUCUUAGUUAGUUUUAUUUCUAACAUUGACAAACUCUGUAGUUCUUCUCUUUUAUCAUUUUUGCAGCUUAUAAAAUGGCCGCAUGUGCAGCCAUGACAGAAUCUUCAGCAGUGGCGAAUCUCCAUCACUUCUAGAUAUACAUUAGACGGCGUUAAGGGAUGGCACUGAAAAACGCCAUGAAAUACAUUCCAUGACGUUUUUCAAACGCCAUAGAUGACUGUGUGUGUGUACUAUUGCCAUAUAUCUAUUCUUUGCAUCAUGUUCUAAUCCUUGCCCUCUUUUUCAGGUGUUAGCAUUAAGGUAUUAUAAAUUCUUGCAAGGAGAAUGAAAUUUUGGCAGAUUUGGAAACAAAUUUGGACACAAGUAAAGGAAAGCUAUUCAAAGUUGUUAAAGGAGCAAAUGAUGUACUCUUAUGUAGAUUAAUUAGGAUUAAUAGGUAUUGUUGUCCUACAAACUUAUGUCCACACUUCAAUUGAAUUUGUUUUUGAAGUGGAUUAUUGACAUUCAAUGAAGAGUUACUUUCCUUGUUA